CAAUUUGCAAAGCAUAUCAUUCGUACAUGAACUUGCAGGUCGUCCAGGUCUCUUCAUCUAUCCCCGAGCGCCGGCCCUAUCCCUAUCCCUGAGCUCCUCUGUUGGUCGAGGCUGCGCCGCCACCGUCCUCAAUCCCGGCGGCGAGCUUCCGCGCCCUCUGAUACCCAUCUACUCUUCUUCUGCAGGCCCCCAUGGCGGGUCUCUUCUUUACUUUAUUUUUUAAUGUCGUCUCCUGUAGCGUUCUGCCUUGGCGACUGCGGCAGCCGCACGCGCUGCUGGCUUCCAUCGCCGAUUGUAUUCCUCUUGCGUCCGCCUCCAUGCGCUUGCAGCUGGUGGCUGUGGUAACGGGACUGACGGCGAAGGAGAUUCGACAGAGCCGAUCGUGACGAGCACCUCAUCCUCCUUUUACUCCGCAGGAUCAGCGUCCCCUUUUCUUUUGUGUCAGACCAACAGGGUAGGAUGACGUACGUUGUUGAUUUGUUGUACUGAUGCGUGAUCGGGCAUCUCGGGAGGAUGUAAGUGGAACAUUAGCUGGGCCAUGGACAACACAUUGCAGAGGCCAUUAAUAUGUAGCAAAGCCAUUUUAUGAGGUCGUCGUUGACAACAAUGUUAUGCUCAACUUUGAGAGCCAAUCUUCUUUUAUCCGUAUUCAACUCUUGUUGGUAACAUAUUCAUCUCUUGUUAGGCACGCUUAUACGCUGAUGUUACAUUUUUGCCGCAUUUUGAUGUUUGUGCAUCAGAGAGCUUCCUUGAUGCUGGCAUCAGCUUGGAAGUUGUUGCUUUUCAGAGAACUCUGGGAACCAUAUAUCCUUCACAAGGCACACAAUUAUUCAGAAGAAUAGUAACCGUUAGUCGUGCUUAGAUGCUUCACAUUCCAUUCUUUUACUGCCCCCAAACGUACUAUAACAAACAAUCAUCUUCGUAUUUGAGGCAUUGCAGUUUUGGAUACUCAUACUUCUUACAUAUAUUUGUACCAUCUAAAUUUAUGGCAGAUAUUUCUCCUAUUUUUUAUUAAAAUGGAAGAGCGCGGCAACGCGUGCCUUCAUGUUCUAGUAAGAUGGGUUGUAGAUGACAUGGCACUGACUUGUAGUCAGCAGCUGGCUAUAUUAUUAACCAUGCUCUAAUCGAUAAAAUCUUAACAGUAAGUGCAGUGCGAACUCUGGUGCAGAAUUGAUGCAUGGCAUCUGGCCUUUGAAUUUUUUGUGAGCAUACACUGUUAGCGAAACGCAUAAUUGAUUAGUUUAGUUUUGUAGACAGCCGGGUCAUGAGAAGGGCGAGCAUAUCGGUAAAGAAGAUUCUGGAAACUUCCACAGUGCCAUAGGCCAUAGCAUCGACGUAGUAUAUGCAUGUCAAACAAAGCAAACAGGCCACGCACUGUUAGAUCUCGUGGCUUGCUGAUUGCAAAGCUUGGCUUUGACCUAAAUAUCUCUACCUACUUGCUGCCACCUGGCCUCCAUGAUUACCAGCAAACCAAUCAAGCAAAGCUCUUGUGGCUAACACGUAUGCACUCAAGUACUCGGACACGUCCUGUGUCAACUCUCUCUAUAUAUUGGCAUACGUACGUACACGUAACGGAGUGAGCCGGUACUAAUUGAGGCUGAGCGCGAAUUCCGAGGAGACAAAUCAUAACAUGGCUAAUUUGAUUGUUCCCUCCUUAGGAACAUUUUUGUUCAAGUAUAAACUCAUAAAAGGAAAAACCUUGUCUCCCCUCCCGAGCCCUAGAUCGAGUGCCACCAAGCCGCCCCUCACCCCCCUUCAUUCCCUUGCGGUCAUCGGAGGAGGCUCCCGCAGGGCGGAUGGCGGCGGUGGGGUUUUCUCCUCGUCCGGUGACAGGUUCUCACGGUGGAUGAGGCUUGUUCCCUUCUGUUGUGCAGUGUGGGGGCUUCCCA